rnacentral:rRNA from 1 species
UACAGAGGUCUCAAGCGUUGUUCGGAUUCAUUGGGCGUAAAGGGUGCGUAGGUGGCGGGGUAAGUCAGGUGUGAAAUCUCGGGGCUCAACCCCGAAACUGCACUUGAUACUGCCUUGCUCGAGUACUGGAGAGGAGAUUGAAAUUUACGGUGUAGCAGUGAAAUGCGUAGAUAUCGUAAGGAAGACCAGUGGCGAAGGCGAAUCUCUGGACAGUUACUGACACUGAGGCACGAAGGCCAGGGGAGCAAACGGGG